rnacentral:rRNA from 1 species
UGGCCUGCCCAGUGAUAUAAAUUCAACGGCCGCGGUAUAUUGACCGUGCAAAGGUAGCAUAAUCAUUAGUCUUUUAAUAGGGGGCUGGUAUGAAAGGUUAAACGAAACAUUAACUGUCUUAUUUAUAAAUAUUAAAAUUUAACUUUUAAGUCAAAAGGCUUAAAUUUUUUUGGAGGACGAGAAGACCCUAUAGAGCUUUACAUUAUAUUUUUUAAUAUUUCUUGGUUAAAUAUUUUGAUAUUAAUUUAUCUAUUGUUUUGUUGGGGUGACAAUAAAAUAUGAUUAACUUUUUAUAAAACUUACAUUUAUUUAUGAAUUUUUGAUCCAAUAUUAUUGAUCAUUAGAUUAAGUUACCUUAGGGAUAACAGCGUAAUCUUUCUUAGGAGUUCAAAUUUACAGAAAGGCUUGCGACCUCGAUGUUGGAUUAAGAUAAUAGUUAGGUGCAGUAGCUUAACGGAUAGGUCUGUUCGACCUUUAAAUUCUU